rnacentral:rRNA from 1 species
UACGUAGGGACCGAGCGUUGUCCGGAAUCAUUGGGCGUAAAGAGCGUGUAGGCGGCUUGCUAAGUCUUGCGUGAAAUCUCGGGGGCUCAACCCCCGAGCGGUCGUGGGAAACUGGCAGGCUAGAGUGCGGGAGAGGAGAAUGGAAUUCCUGGUGUAGCGGUGAAAUCGCAGAUAUCAGGAAGAACACCCGUGGCGAAGGCGGUUCUCUGGAACGCAACUGACGCUGAGACGCGAAAAGCUGGGGGAGCAAACAGG